rnacentral:rRNA from 1 species
UACUGGCUCAGGAUGAACGCUAGCUACAGGCUUAACACAUGCAAGUCGAGGGGCAUCAGGGCGAUAGCUUGCUAUUGCCGCUGGCGACCGGCGCACGGGUGAGUAACGCGUAUCCAACCUCCCCCUUAGUAGAGGAUAGCCCGGCGAAAGUCGGAUUAAUACUCUAUGUUCUUCAAUGCGGACAUCUAACUUGAAGCAAAGAUUGAUCGCUAAGGGAUGGGGAUGCGUCUGAUUAGCUUGUCGGCGGGGUAACGGCCCACCGAGGCGACGAUCAGUAGGGGUUCUGAGAGGAAGGUCCCCCACAUUGGUACUGAGACACGGACCAAACUCCUACGGGAGGCAGCAGUGAGGAAUAUUGGUCAAUGGGCGUAGGCCUGAACCAGCCAAGUAGCGUGCAAGGAUGACUGCCCUAUGGGUUGUAAACUGCUUUUAUGCGGGAAUAAAGUCAGGUACGCGUACCUGUUUGUAUGUACCGCAUGAAUAAGGACCGGCUAAUUCCGUGCCAGCAGCCGC